rnacentral:rRNA from 1 species
GAUGAACGCUGGCGGCGUGCCUAAUACAUGCAAGUCGAGCGAACAGAUGAGGAGCUUGCUCCUCUGACGUUAGCGGCGGACGGGUGAGUAACACGUGGAUAACCUACCUAUAAGACUGGGAUAACUUCGGGAAACCGGAGCUAAUACCGGAUAAUAUAUUGAACCGCAUGGUUCAAUAGUGAAAGACGGUUUUGCUGUCACUUAUAGAUGGAUCCGCGCCGCAUUAGCUAGUUGGUAAGGUAACGGCUUACCAAGGCAACGAUGCGUAGCCGACCUGAGAGGGUGAUCGGCCACACUGGAACUGAGACACGGUCCAGACUCCUACGGGAGGCAGCAGUAGGGAAUCUUCCGCAAUGUGCGAAAGCCUGACGGAGCAACGCCGCGUGAGUGAUGAAGGUCUUCGGAUCGUAAAACUCUGUUAUUAGGGAAGAACAAAUGUGUAAGUAACUAUGCACGUCUUGACGGUACCUAAUCAGAAAGCCACGGCGAACUACGU